rnacentral:lncRNA from 1 species
AUGAAGCGCUCCCCUCGCUCUCGUGGCUCUACCUCCACCGUGUGUCGUCAACGGCGUUCUGGACACGCCUCCCCUUCCUCUUCCUCAUCCUCCUACUCUGACCCCGAUAUCCUGAUCCCUAUCCACACCACGCUCCCCUGCUUCGAGGAAGAGGAGCAGAUCUUCAUCAACGCCCAGUGGAGGGGAGAUUCUCAGGUAAUUUAUUCUGACAGGACCCCUCCUGUCAGCAGAAGGUCAUCAGAACCUUCCGGAACGGAAUCCCCCGUUUGUAAGAUAUCUAGAGAAGAACUGGAAGCUUCCUUGGAUGAAGCCACAUUGAAGACAUCAUCUAAAGACGAGCCGGACUAUUCUUCUGUGGACAACAGUGCUCCAAGGAAAAUGCAAAGAGUCAAAAGUGAGACUUCCAUGGACCCCCCCGCCGACGCAGCAGCCACAAAGGUCUUGGGUCGUUCGAUGGACAACGUCUCAAGGAAGUCAUUCAGAGACGAGUGUCACGAGGUUCCGUUGGAGACUCACGUCUCAAAGAAGAGGUCUCUUCUAUCUAGAGACGUGAUCGGUGUGUCUCUGGACACCGGCUCCAGGCAGAUGAUGAGAGAGAGCUGGGGAGAAGCCUCAUUCAACAACUCCAUGAGAGGAAGACCCAGAGAAGAAAUGGUGGCGGCCGUUGGAACCCCAACGAGAAGGAUAUCCCGAGAGGAGGUGGACUUCUUAGCCGACGGCGCUCAGAGGAGGAUGGCGAUGGCCAGAGACAAACUGACCCUUCAUCUGGACAGCAACUCUUCUCACAAGAUGCUCAGUAAGAAGAUGGAGUUCCCAGUGGAACCACCAUCUGCCGCCACGAGGAAGAUAUCGAUAGACGAACACCAUGAGAUGUGCUCUCACACUAGCAGACGAACAAACAGCGAUAAGGUUGACAGAUCCAUAGACACUCCCACUGGGAAGAUCUACCCGGACAGGGUCGACAGUACCCCAGAAAUCCCCAAACGGAGGAUAUCCAGGGAGGAGUAUACGGUGUCGUCCCAGGUGGUUCACGAUCCCCAGGUUUUGGAUUGGGGUCAGUUCGGACAACCUGACCUCACCUUGUCCACACCAUGGAAACAAACCCAGACACCUGACCCUUAUACCUCCGACCACCUGACCGAACUGGUGUAUGACGGUAUUCUGGAGAAGUCCUGUAUCACCCCAGCAACGACCCCUGACCUGCCCCAGAGGAUCACGGAAGGAAGAGAGCGAGAAGGGAAUCCUCCUGUGCCGCCCCCGAGGAGCAGCCGGUCCCUAAACACGUUGCCCCCGGAGAUGAGAGGCGAGAGGCACCAAAAGGACAAAGACAAAAGCACGAAGUCGUCCAAACUCAAGAGCCUUUUUAAGAAGAGGAAAGAUCAUACCCCAGAACUGCCACAAGGGGGCCUGAACAAUCUCUGACCGGUAACUGGAAUUUAAACACUUUAAUGUAAAUUCUUUAACCAGGAAGUUUCUUGAGGCUAUGAAACUCUGGAUAAGACCUCAGCCAGGAAAAGCUGAGAGGAAACAUGAACAUUAGUCUUAUAGAUUUGAUUUUUCAAAAAAAACGACACGGACUGUUUGGCUGGGAUUACAUGUUUGAAAGAAAAAAACAUGAGCAAUAGGAUUGCUAAUUUUUUUUCAAAGCCAACAAAGACUGAUUUUUGAAACCCAGAAAAAUAGUGUUCUGGCCGAUAACGCGCAGAUUGCCGGACAACAUGUUAUUUUGGCAGUCAACGGGCAGGUACCAAACUCUUGAGUUGACAUAGCAGUCUCUAAAACGGAUUAAUCUCGUACUAGACUGAAUACUCUGAAAACAGGAACACAGUCGAUGCUAUAGUUUCGGUACUAUUUUGGUACUACAAAGCAGAAUCAAUUAACCAGCUAUCUUUUAAUCAACCGUAGUUAACCAUCUAACUUUGAUAAAUAACCAGAAAUAACUAUUAAUUUUCUGGUUCAUUUAAGAAAAGCUAAACUUAGAUACGUGUGUCUUUGGUUGUUUAGUCAAUUAGACAAUGCCCAUUUCAAGCUUAAAGCUAUUUUCAUAACGUUUAGGCAAGUUAGCUGGCUAACUCAUUGAUCCUGCUUUUAUAGUAUUGUCCUCAGAGGGACAAAGAGGAUGAAGUGUGUAAGAUAACCCAUGGUGCCCAAAUGUUGUCUCUGCAAGGAAGUCUUAAUAAGUAGACCAAUGAUGGGUGUCCCGUUUUCAGCUUCGUUUGGAAGCAGUGUGAUCCCAUACCAUGUUUGAUCGCCUCCUAUGUUCAGCGUUGGGUGUUUAAGAGCUGAGAUAUUUAUUUCUUGACUAGGGAGCAUUUCUUUGGAGCUCUUCUCCUGUACGAUAGAAGCAACUGUAGUUUAUUUGGAUUGGGGGAGUGCUGUUCAGUGGUUCCUUGACUUUUUUCCUCAGUGCAGUCACAGUGCUGUUCAAUGGUUCCUAGACCUUUUUCUCAGUGCAGUCACAGAGCUUUGCUUGGGGGGAGAUUUCUAGUAUGUGCACGGUUGCAACAUUUAGGUUUCCCAGGUUUUCCUUGAAUCCUGGUAAGAAGAUUCCCAGAAUCAAGAGGGAAAAUCUGGAAAUUAGUUGAAAAGUGUGUUUACAUUUUUUUUUCACUAGGCAAGUCAGUUAAGAACAAAUUAUUAUUUACAAUGACGGCCUAGGAACAGUGGAUUAACUGCCUUGUUCAGGGGCAGAACGACAGGUUGUUUACCUUGUCAGCUCGGGGAUUUGAUCUAGCAACCUUUCGGUUAGUGUCCCAACACUCUAACCACCAGACCUGUUGCUUUUGGUUUCUUUUGUAACUGAGCUUUUUUUAAACAAAAUGUAUCUAAUUUAAAUUAGCUUGUUUUUUGAGAAUUGUUCUGUUCUUCGUCUUUGUGGAAGUCCAGUUUUUCUUUUCAAGGUGAUUGGUUUACUGGGUUUGAAGGGGGGAUAGUUUCUCAAAACCUUUAUGUAAAAAUGUUUUUUCAUGACAUCUUUUACUUGUUUGGUAAUUAAAUAAAAUGUAUUUUAUUGACUGUUUUACAAAAGAAAAAGAAAGUCUUGGGUGUCUAGGAUAGAGUCAACUAUAUCUAAAGAACGUCUUGGGUGUCUAGGAUAGAGUCAACUAUAUCUAAAGAAAGUCUUGGGUGUCUAGGAUAGAGUCAACUAUAGCUAAAGAAAGUCUUGGGUGUCUAGGAUAGAGUCAACUAUAUCUAAAGAAAGUCUUGGGUGUCUAGGAUAGAGUCAACUAUAUCUAAAGAAAGUCUUGACCAAGUCAAGGUCCCAGAAAAGGACUAAAAUACUUAAUUGAAAGGAAACUUUGUAUGCAUUGAUAAUGAUGAAUUAAAAAUAAUAAUUUUAACAACAUUUCAAAUGUUUCAUUGUUUGUAAGUAUUUAUUGCUUGGUGGCAGUAUAUUCUCAAAUAAAAUGCUAAAACAUCGCUACAGAUAAAAGUAAAGAUAACCUUUUUACAUAAUUGAGAAUUCACAUUUUUAAUAAGGGAAUAAAUGUAAUUGUUCUAAAACACCUUGGGUAGUGGGUGACACACAACUUUAAUCAAAAAGACAUGAAGCCUAAAGGCUCCAUUAACAAAACGUAUUGCACGAUUUUCUAGGAAAAACAGCACUGAUUUUGAGUGAAAACCUCCUUCCAUCAGCAAGGGCACUGAAGAUGAAACGUGGCUGGGUCUUUCAGCAUGACAUAUCCUAGUGGCCUAGCCAGUCUCCAGAUUUCAACCCCAUAGAAAAUCUUUGGAGGGAGUUGAAAGUCCGUGUUGCCCAGCAACAGCCCCAAAACAUCACUGCUCUAGAGGAGAUCUGCAUAGAGGAAUGGGCCAAAAUACCAGCAACAGUGUGUGAAAACCUUGUGAAGACUUACAGAAAAUGUUUGACCUCUGUCAUUGCCAACAAAGGGUAUAUAACAAAGUAUUGAGAUAAACUUUUGUUAUUGACCAAAUACUUAUUUUCCACCAUAAUUUGCAAAUAAAUUCAUAAAAAAUCCUACAAUGUGAUUUUCUGGAUUUUUUUUCUCAUUUUGUCUGUCAUAGUUGAAGUGUACCUAUGAUGAAAAUUACAGGCCUCUCUCAUCUUUUUAAGUGGGAGAACUUGCACAAUUGGUGGCUGACUAAAUACUUUUUUGCCCCACUGCAUAUCCAUUUAAUUAAAAUAUCAACUGCAGUGGUGUCAUGGAGACUGACUGGUCUCUGGUUAUUUUCAGGCAUUCCUCCUGGCUCCUAAUACAACAAAAACAAACAUUAAAACUAGUACACACGUCAACAGAUAGUCGUCGUAAUCAGUAGGGAAGAAGAACAGACAUGUCAUUCAGUAAGGGACUGUAACAAUAUUUUCAGAUAAAACACAACACAGAGGACUAGAGGUCAAUAGGGCAUUAAUGAUCAAUGGCAAUAAGUUGUUUUUCAGUUCAACAUCUGAAGGAAUUUCAGUCCUGGACUCAUAGCUACACGGCAAGCUUUCAUUGGUCCAAAUCGUCUACACGUCGAGCUUUCAUUGGUCCAAAUCGUCUAUACGUUGAGCCUGUAACAGGAUACUUGUUUUUUGGCCAUUGGCCCAAUUUUACUGCAAGGAAUUCUAAUUGGUCGACCACAGGCUAGGGUUAUACAUGACACCCUGUCCCUUUGUUCUGUGGAGGAAUCACCGAGGAGAGUAUCACUGAGGAGAGAAUCACUGAGGAGAGAAUCACUGAGGACAGGGAAGAAGGAACAUCCACCAUCUACUUCUCAGCAUAACGUCUAUCAUUCGUUCUCUUUGAAUAAACCACUUUUUUCUCCCCCUGAUUUGCUUUGGGGUUUGUGUUCCUGAAGGAUAACAUCACCUGCUGACACGACAAACACCUUGAUACGUAACAAAACGAACUGAUAUCAGUAGAAAUGGACCCCCCCCCCCCCCCCCCCCCCCCCCCUAAUGUCCUCGUGACUCACUGUGUAUUUUUCCGACCCAGAAGGCAGCAGGAAUGAGGAGCAGGAACAGAGAUUUGGAGGUCAGUACCAGGACCCAGCUCAGACCACAUUCAGGGGUGUCCUGGUUGUUUUCUGUUUUAAUGGUGAGGUACAUCAUCACUGGGCAACUUUCUAUGUUCUUUUCAGACCGACCAAUCAGUGUGUCCCUUUACACAUUACACCAAGCAAAAUGGAAAUAUUGUGUUUACACUGAUAUU